CGGCGUGCUUAACACAUGCAAGUCGAACGGUGAAGCAGAGCUUGCUCUGUGGAUCAGUGGCGAACGGGUGAGUAACACGUGAGCAAUCUGCCCCUGACUCUGGGAUAAGCGCUGGAAACGGCGUCUAAUACCGGAUACGAGCUGCGACCGCAUGGUCAGUAGCUGGAAAGAAUUUCGGUCAGGGAUGAGCUCGCGGCCUAUCAGCUUGUUGGUGAGGUAAUGGCUCACCAAGGCGUCGACGGGUAGCCGGCCUGAGAGGGUGACCGGCCACACUGGGACUGAGACACGGCCCAGACUCCUACGGGAGGCAGCAGUGGGGAAUAUUGCACAAUGGGCGCAAGCCUGAUGCAGCAACGCCGCGUGAGGGAUGACGGCCUUCGGGUUGUAAACCUCUUUUAGCAGGGAAGAAGCGAAAGUGACGGUACCUGCAGAAAAAGCGCCGGCUAACUACGUGCCAGCAGCCGCGGUAAUACGUAGGGCGCAAGCGUUAUCCGGAAUUAUUGGGCGUAAAGAGCUCGUAGGCGGUCUGUCGCGUCUGCUGUGAAAACCCGAGGCUCAACCUCGGGCCUGCAGUGGGUACGGGCAGACUAGAGUGCGGUAGGGGAGAUUGGAAUUCCUGGUGUA
rnacentral:rRNA from 1 species